CUACAGAAUCCUCUUCUAGUCCACCUUCAGGGUCCAGUGGUUUGCCCCUGGCACCCAUAAUGAUUUCCCAGAGAACCACAACAACAUCUGGAAAGUCUCAAAGUAAGUC